rnacentral:rRNA from 1 species
CUACCUGCAGUUGAUGUUUAUUUUUAAACAUAGCGAACGGGUGAGUAACGCGUGAAUUAUCUACCUUUUAAUUCAGAAUAAUUAUUUUAUAUAAAAAUACUGAAUAAAUAAAUUAAAGUUAUAAAACGUUAAAAGAUGAGUUUGCGUAAGAUUAGGUAGUUGGUAGUUUAAAAGACUACCAAGCCGACUAUCUUUAGCUGGUUUGAAAGAAUGAUCAGCCACAUUGGGACUGAGACACGGCCCAAACUUUUUUAAAGGCAGCAGUGGGGAAUUUUGGACAAUGAGCGAAAGCUUGAUCCAGCAAUACCAAGUGAGUGAAGAAGGCUAAUUAGGUUGUAAAGCUCUUUCAUUAAGGAGGAAAAUGACAGUACUUAAAAAAGAAGUUCCGGCUAAUACCCGUGCCAGCAGUCGCGGUAAUACGGGAGGAGCGAGCAUUAUUCGGAAUGAUUAGGCGUAAAGGGUUUGUAGGUGGUUUUUUAAGUUGAAAAAAACAAAUUAAAGCUCAACUUUAUGAAUUUUUUCAAAACUGAAAAACUUGAGUAUAAAUAGAGGAUAAUGGAAUUUCUAUUGGAGGGAUAAAAUAUGUUGAUAAUAGAAGGAAGACCUAAAGCGAAGGCAAUUAUCUGGGUAUAUACUGACACUGAGAAACGAAAGCUUGGGGAGCGAACAGGAUUAGAGACCCUGGUAGUCCAUGCUGUAAACGAUGAGUGCUCAUAUUUAGAUUUUUUAGAUAUCAAGCUAACGCGUUAAGCACUCCGCCUGAAAAGUAUAAUCGCAAGAUCGAAAUUCAAAGGAAUUGACNGGAGCCUACACAAGCGGUGGAGCAUGUGGUUUAAUUCGAUAAUACGCGC